rnacentral:rRNA from 2 species
GGGAUUGCCCCAGUAACGGCGAGUGAAGCGGCAACAGCUCAAAUUUGAAAUCUGGCUCUCGGGCCCGAGUUGUAAUUUGUAGAGGAUGCUUUUGGUGAGGUGCCUUCCGAGUUCCCUGGAACGGGACGCCAUAGAGGGUGAGAGCCCCGUCUGGUUGGACACCGAUCCUCUGUAAAGCUCCUUCGACGAGUCGAGUAGUUUGGGAAUGCUGCUCUAAAUGGGAGGUAUAUGUCUUCUAAAGCUAAAUACCGGCCAGAGACCGAUAGCGCACAAGUAGAGUGAUCGAAAGAUGAAAAGAACUUUGAAAAGAGAGUUAAACAGUACGUGAAAUUGUUGAAAGGGAAGCGCUUGUGACCAGACUUGGGCUUGGUUGAUCAUCCGGGGUUCUCCCCGGUGCACUCUUCCGGCUCAGGCCAGCAUCAGUUCGCCCUGGGGGAUAAAGGCUUCGGGAAUGUGGCUCUCUCCGGGGAGUGUUAUAGCCCGCUGCGUAAUACCCUGUGGCGGACUGAGGUUCGCGCAUUCGCAAGGAU